AUUGUGAUAACAAUUCUUUGUCAGCAUUUAAAAGGAUGAAAGUUAUGGCAUUCUGUAGUGAGACUGGAGUUGGCAAAGACCUUGUUGUGAGGCUGUACUGUUUUGAUGAUUGUGAAUGGUCCUUUGAGAGGCUAAUGAAAAAGGAGCAGGAGAAAGGAGGAAAGCUCAUGUCCUCAAUUGAAUCUUUUGAUUUUUCUGUCACUUGUGAAGAAGAUGUGAAAAUAGUUGUCAAGGAUGUUGAUGGUCUGGAGAUAGGAAGCAUUUGCCCAAUGGUAUUGUAUAGAAAAUGUUUUGUUUCCAUUGAACAACUAUAUAACAUUCAGCAGGGAGCACUUCCUAACUAACUUGCAACAGUCUUUUUAUUAGUCAGUGUUUGUUUAGGGAAAGCCAUAGUAAAGUAAAAGAACAUAGUAAAAGCACUUAUAUAUUCUUUUAGAUUGUCCUCUGUACUAAAGGCUCAUGCUGCGGUCUAGGUUUUAGCAGUGUUGGAAACUAAAUUUUGACAGCACUCGCCAUUCAGGCGAGUCACUCUCAAAAUUCAUUUGUCAGUGUAGUUUUCGCUUGUAUUGCCCAGAAAGAUGCCUCCCCUCCCCCUAAAAAUCUCCACAAUCAUUCACAAAUCAUGCAUUUUUCGGUAUCAAUCACAAAUGCCCAGCUUCAGUGCCAUUUUGCAUUGAGCUUUCUUGUUCUGGUCCAUUUACCACACACCUCAUUAGGAUCGUGGAUUGAUUUUACUGUUUAUCCUCAUUUUUAUCAGCAACUUUUGACACUCCUUGUAAAUUUUCCUCAUUAAUGAUUUCUGUUGUUUUAACUGAAGAACAGCUUAAUGAACAGCUGGCACUAUCGAAUUCACAUGUCCCUAGAAUCAGGACAUUUGGGCAAAUUAUUUGGGCAUCUCAGAAGAUAAAAAAGGUAAAAAAGCAACGAUAAGUUCUCAUUCAGAGAUAUUCUUACCAAAAUGGCGAAUAUAAAAGGAGGGUUAUCAAUAUAUAAGCUUAACUAAUUUCCCAAAAAUGAAAAUCGUACUUGCCAAACAGGUGAGCGAUGGAUGAUUUAUACUCCCCUGAUGCUUUUCACACUCGCACUGGCGAGUGGGCAAACUCUAAUUACCAACCCUGGUUUUAGGUCACAUCCAGUUUUGGGUGUUUGAAGGGAACCUUAUUCAAAUGUGUCCUUUUUUCUGCCUUUGUCUAGAAAUUCAGCUACACAUCAUUGCUGAACUCAUUCCAUCUGAUUCCCCAGUGUGAUCUAAUGUUCAAUACCACAAGUUUUGAAGGGAACAGCACCUUCUUUGUCACGAUUGUGUUAACCCAGUCUUCUAGCCAAACUGUGAUGUAUGCCAGUACUGCUAUCAAACAGGAUCCAACUUUGUGCAUGAAGCUAAAUGUGAUCCCGAAUAUGAUAAAUGAAGGGGGUCAUAACUCAGAUAUGAAUGGUACAACUCCCAACCUUGAGGAGCAAAAACAAGAAGCCAUCACCAACGUCAUUAUUCAGUUGUAGUUAAGUCAUCUGUAUAGAUUGUAUAGUUCCUCCUAAAUCUUGACAAACAAAUAGCAACCUUCCUAAUAAUACAGUAAAAACCAGCGUGUAAGAACCUACAUUUUUUGAAGUCUGGCUAAAUAGGUUCUUGUAUUUUGGGGCACUUAUUGGCAAUUUCGGCUAAGUAGGUUCUUAAUUUCUACGAAGGAGAUGUAGUUGUUAAUUACCAGAAAAAUGAAUAAACUUGGGUUUCAUCCUUAAUUAAAUUUACAGCAUUUAUUCACAACUGUAUUAUGAUAAGUCUAACAUAACUGUGUAUAUGUAGUGUUGUCGCUAUAAAAAGCUGUAACCUCCAUUUAGGGACCAGCUUGAUCUUACUUGGCUAAACAGGUUCUUACAUUUUUGGGUUUUUAGAUGGAAAAUUCCUGCCAGCAGGUUCUUAAACCUCUUGGUUCUUAAAUGUGGGUUCUUACAUGUGGGUUCUUACUAUAGUAAUAGAAGGUAUUGAUUUGCUGGGUUCACUCACAAACCCUUUGAGUUCAAUUUGUGUGACACUAAAAGUAUUAAAGGAAGAAAUUUAUGUAGCACUUAAAUUUCAGUUCUUAAAAAUUAAUCAUUCUACUCCUUUUUUAGUAUUUUUUUUUCAGAUGUUGUUUGUUGAUUUUACUUCUAAACUAUUAAUUCUACAGAUUACCAGUUCUGCAGAGAUUUAAUUACACAGCCUGUCAGAAAAAAGUAUACAAAUCACUAUCCUUUUAAUCCACAAUGUGUACAUCUCCCCUACCUUUAUGAGAUUCUGCAAGCUACUAUUUUCA